rnacentral:tmRNA from 1 species
GGGGCUGAUUCUGGAUUCGACGGGAUUUGCGAAACCCAAGGUGCAUGCCGAGGGGCGGUUGGCCUCGUAAAAAGCCGCAAAAAAAUAGUCGCAAACGACGAAAACUACGCUUUAGCAGCUUAAUAACCUGCUUAGAGCCCUCUCUCCCUAGCCUCCGCUCUUAGGACGGGGAUCAAGAGAGGUCAAACCCAAAAGAGAUCGCGCGGAUGCCCUGCCUGGGGUUGAAGCGUUAAAACGAAUCAGGCUAGUCUGGUAGUGGCGUGUCCGUCCGCAGGUGCCAGGCGAAUGUAAAGACUGACUAAGCAUGUAGUACCGAGGAUGUAGGAAUUUCGGACGCGGGUUCAACUCCCGCCAGCUCCAC